rnacentral:lncRNA from 1 species
AGCCGCCCGCUCUGUCCCCGAAGGGACCCCGCAGCCACACACACACCCACAGGCAGGGGCGGCAUCGGGAACCCACCGCCGCCACCGGGCGCUGCCGGUGCCCCGCGGCCGAGGGAUGGAUGCGCCUCCGGGCAGCGGCUGCAGUGUGUGUAGUGUGACCACUCCACAAAACCUGGACAGAAGGACUCGCGGCUGGGAGCCGAACAUGUGUUAUUUCGCCGUUUCAUGAUAAGUCUCUCCACAGUCGGAGAGGGACUCCAUCCUGCGGGACGCCCUCAGCCGCCCCGAGAGGUGCGAGGCCCAGAGCCAUCCGCUGGCACACCCGUUCAAUCCUCAGCAAAGAGGCUUCCCGAAAUUAAAAAAAAAACAAAACAAACAAACAAAAAACCAACAAAAAAGGCAACAAACAAACCACCAAACAACAACAAACAAACACGCUCGUUGCCACAGGAGCCGCGAUAGCGAGCUGACAGGGUACGCCAACCCGUGACAUUGCGCCCGGAGUCUCACCCAUUCUCUCUGCAAGAGGAGGCGGCCGCCCAUGCCGGGAGCGGGACUCUCCGCCUGGCUGCGGGCGCUCGGCAACUCCAGGGAAAUGUCACAAUACCACUCCCGGCGUGUGCCGCGGUCCGGCGGGGGCGGCCGGUCCCGGGCUGCGAACCGGCACAGCGCGCCCUCACCGCCGCCUGCGGCCUCACCCGGGCGAGCGAGCGCCCAGCGCCUCACGAAGCCCUCAUUCCUCGUCUCAGGAACCUCUUGCCUCAGGAACCCCUCACCUCAGGAACACCCCAUCCCUCGCCUCAGGAACCUCUCUUUCCUCACCUCAGGAACCCUCAUCGCUCUCCUUAGGAACCCCUCGCCUCAGGAACACCACAUCUCUCGCCUCAGGAACCACUCAUCUCGAUUUCCCCUCACGAAAGGCUCGCUUGGUGCCAGGGGAAUGGGAAGGAGUCGCUCUCCCCUCGCCUUUGUGCAGGUCUGUGACCUCCCAGCCGCAGCUGUGCCAUGUCAGCCCAGAAAGGAGGGAAAGAUCUGCAGGUCUGUGAACCUGAGGGAGGAGAGGGAAAGCUGCUAGUCUCGGAAGGAGAAGGGACGAUGCAGAGAGAAGGAGCCUGAGGAGUGUUGGGGCAGAGGAAGGCAGAGCAUGAGGGACAGUAGGAGCAGUGAGGGCCUACAUUUUCCAUGAAGCUUAUCAUUUCUGUUUGAGGUAGGAAAUACAUUUCAGACAAAGCUUUUAGUCCAAGUGUAGCCUUGUCGACUUGUCUUUGACCACGCAGCUAUGUGUUUCCAGUCUGGCUGGUUUUGUUGUUUGAGGGGCCUUUUUUCUGAGGAUGUAAGUAAACAAAAGUAUAAACCUUCGUCUGCAGUACCUUUUUUUUUUUUUUUCCAAUGCUUACGUGAAGGGUUUUAUCUAAUAUGUAUAUAUGAGUUUAUUCUUUAGAUCUUUCUAGAUUCAAAGGAAGAACUGAGAUUUCUUUAGGGAGGAACUGUAACUUGAAAGGACGUGAUAGAUGUAGUUGGCUCAUUGUUAUCUUAAGCAUUUCCCUUCUUUGUUGCACUGGAGGUAGCUGAAUAGCUGCUAUGUAUGGACAUACAUGACUCUCAAGCUCUGGCUAAUGAUUUUUGGAAAUUAAAUGAUUCAAGGUGUUACUGAGAAAAACUCCAGCAAAAGGGAGUUUAUUCUUGAAAGAAUCUGGCAGGCAUCGCUUUUGCAACACUUUCUUCGUUUAUCUGCUGUUGGCAUCUUGGUCUUUUCCUCCCAAAUUCUCCUUAAUGACAGUGGGUGCAGUGAGCAUUAAAACCACUGUCCUUUGUGCACAGAAUAUUUGAAGCUGUCUUUUGAAGGAGAAAGGCUCACACACCUGUGCUGCAGAUUGCAGGCACAUCUUUGUUUCUUAAAUAACUCAGGAACAUGUUGCUUGAAUUUAACCACACUUGACUGAGGCAAAUGGUGACUGUUGUAGGGGAGGGUCAAAAAUAGCUGCCACUGCUGAGGGCACAGAGAGGGAAGGCAGCCAGUGCAGUAGCUUUCAGCAGCAGGUGGCUGUCAGUCAGCCACACACAGGCUUAUAAUUCUUCAUAGAGUUAUUUCUCCUCUAUCAGAACUACCACAGGGAAUACAGUGCCUAUAGAAUACCUCAGGGAAAAGGUGUGAUGGGGGCCAGGUACAGAAUGGUUAAAAACAUGGGCUCCUGCUUUACAUGGGCUCCUGCUUUCAUCAAUUCUUUGAGCAGUGAAAUGUUUCUCACACACACACACACACACAUAACAAAGCUUUAAGUAUACCCUGAAGUAUUCAAGGCAUUAACGAAAAUCCAAUGCAUCUUGCUCAUUUCAAUUACUUCUCCACCCACAUUCUUCAUUGAAUUAAAGGAUAUCCUACACACUCUUUUGUUUCACUUAUUCCCCAAAGAUUGUUUCAUCGUACACCAAGCAAGGAUCUUCAGCAUAUUCAUAGUAACGUCUCAGUCACAGCAUUCAGCAUUAUGAUGUGCCUGGCACAAGGGAUGUUAUUAGAGGAGUGAAGAGAUGAAUAGAUGGCAAAUUUCCCCAGGGCAGCACAUCAGAAAAUGGACAUCAAAAGAACCUGGCUCAAAAUGCAGUGGGUAUUACUGUCUCCUGACAAAUCCCACUCAUUUCUGAACAGUAACACUGUCAGGCUGUGUUAGGGACAAGUCCAUCCUGGAAUACCUCCAUAAAACUGUUUGCUUAUCCAGUAAAAGCACUCUUAUUUCAACACCCACCCCUCUAGUUGAAGACAGCCUAAUCUUCAUUAGUCAAAAGUACUUUAGGCCCAAAUCCAAAUACAGUCCUACUCAAAUAAUGACCAGCAUCCCAAGGCUCAGGCUCUGUAGCCACCAGAAUUAACUUUUUCUUCCACCAUUUUUCAUGAACCCAUGUGGAUUGCCCUAGAAACCCUGAAUGUGUGUCUCUUUCACAGGACACGUAUGUUGUCACAUAUUACAAAUCAUCUUCACAGACUCCAACAGGAUAACAGGCAACAGUCUGUGACAGGAAAUUUUAAAAAUUUCUAUUCCCUUUUUCACCAAGAACUGGUUGGAAUUUAUUUCCUUAAAGCUAUUGCAAACCAUGAGUAACAAUUCCUGAGCAGGCUUUGAGGAAGGAGAAGCACAUAUACUGACAUGAUGUCACCACCUGAAUUAUUCUGCUGAGAUAUAAAAAUAGUUUGGAAGGCAGCACGGCCAAAAUUACUAUAUCAUUUAAUUACAACCUACUUUCAUGACAGGCUAUCAGUUAAUUAAGAGUGUCAAAAUGCUGAAUUGCCUCCAGCUUCUACAUGCUUUGCAAAUGACAUGGAAGUCAUCUUUUUAAAUAGCAACAGCUUAACUGAAAAUGUAGAACCCAUAGUGAAACACUUUGAAAAAUGAGGCAGUCAACCGAGCUGACCUGAAAUUCCCCACGCCAUAAAUUCACUAGGGAAGACAGUUAUAACCCAUUUAAUUUACUCUCUGAAGAUCACAUUCACAUGACAUCAAAACUAUUUUUCUGGAAUUGAUAUAAUUUUGAAGUGUUAUAAAACAGGAGCCUAAAGUGACUGUGCUCUGUGCAGGUACACACAGGGCCUGUCUCCAGCACUAGCACCUUCCCUCCAGGGAAUUGCUGGAAUUGCUACAAUACAGGCAACUGUAAAGCAGGAAGAGGCUUAGAAAGAAGGGGCUUUUCCUUUAGAGAUGAGUCACCUUCACUGAUUCUCAAGUAUCGCAUAUGACAUGAAAGACAAUUCUCUGUAAAGGGAGUAAUGUUCCAAUAAACUUAGAAAAUGAAGGAAUUGGUUUACCCA